rnacentral:rRNA from 1 species
GCUUACGGCCACACCUCCCUGAGCACGCCCGAUCCCUCGUCUGAUCUCGGAAGCUAGCAGGGUCGGCCCGGUUAGUCUUGGAUGGGAGACCGCCUGUGAAUACCAGGUGCUGUAAGCC